rnacentral:rRNA from 1 species
AGACGGGGGGUGCUAGCGUUGUUCGGAAUCAUUGGGUUUAAAGGGUCCGCAGGCGGUCAAUUAAGUCAGAGGUGAAAGCCCAUCGCUCAACGAUGGAACUGCCUUUGAUACUGGUUGACUUGAGUUAUACGGAAGUAGAUAGAAUAAGUAGUGUAGCGGUGAAAUGCAUAGAUAUUACUUAGAAUACCGAUUGCGAAGGCAGUCUACUACGUAUAUACUGACGCUGAGGGACGAAAGCGUGGGGAGCGAACAGGAUUAGAAACCCUAGUAGUCC